AAGAGCACUUUUCUGUUUCCAAGGAAACCUGGUGUAGCAGUUUAUUUACAAAUAGUUUUGAACAAAAGGUUCAAAAAAAUGGAUCAAACUAAAAUGCAUCACGAUUAAUAUGGCUCCUCAAUUUCUUGCAAAUAAUAACAAGCCACCAGAAGGCUCCCUCAGUAAAGAAGCUGAGCAUCCUCCUUUCCUCUGAGACGCAGACAACAGCCGACCAGGUGCAGCCCUCCAUUCCAGCCACUGUCUUCAAGGACAAAGGCGCCACACUUUUUAACAAUGCAUCUCUCCUAGUGCCAGAGUA